GGCAUUCUUCUUAGGGAGAAAAUAUCUCCAGCAUAAAAAAGCAAGAGGGGGGAUAUACAAGGUAAAGGAGAGAGGAAAUAAUCAUGGCAAGAAUGGAACAACCAAAGUACAACUUUACUCACAUCAAUAGUAUGAUCCAGACCCGCCGCUGCCCAUAUAGCUGCUACCCCCCACACUACGUCCAGGGUACAUUGAUGAGUAGGAGCUACCACCCACAUUGCUACCACGAGACAUAUAGUCACCACCAUAGCUUGACGAGUACAUUCCACCGACAUCACUACUAAAAGAACCUGAAAUGGAACUUCGACUAUCAUAUCCUCCAAUAUUUGAUCUGCCAAUCCUGCUAUCAUAGGCAUCUCCAUAUUGAGAAGCUCCAGCACCAUAAUCAUAGUCUAAACGACUUCUUGAUUGACGAACACCAGCAUCAGCAUAAGCUGGAGGCACAUCACUCAAUGAAGAAUAUGGGCGCUUUGAUCCAAUUAGAGCAUCAUAAUCACGUGCACGUACAUCACGGUAGCUUGGAGGAGGGGGUCUCUCAAAUCUUCGCCCAUAUCCAUCAUCAACAUAAGCUCUCCUGGGUGCAUCUCUCCGAGGUGGAUCAGAGAAGGCAGCAGCACGAGAAGCAUAAUCAUCUCUAUAGGAUGCAUUUCUUUCAGGUACAACUCUAGAGGCAUAAUCAACAAGCAUCCGGCUUCUGGAUGGAUGCAGCUCCUCCCGUCGACCAUACUCCCUCUUCAAGCUACUC
rnacentral:misc_RNA from 1 species